GAUGAAGAACGUAGCGAAAUGCGAUAAGUAAUGCGAAUUGCAGAUCUCCGUGAGUCAUUGAAUCUUUGAACGCACAUUGCGCCCUCGGGUAUUCCCGAGGGCAUGCCUGUCCGAGCGUCAUUAUCCAACCAUCAAGCUCGGCUUGCGGUUAGCCCCGCACCGUCCCCGGGACGGUGGGCUCGAAACAUGUUGGGCGCCCGUGAGGUUCUCGGUGCAGCGAGCUCUCGAGCACGUGCCGGGCAACCUCUCUGGGCGUCGGCCAACCCCCCAAUUUCUCAGGUUGACCUCGGAUCAGGUAGGAAUACCCGCUGAACUUAAGCAUAUCAAUAAGCGGAGGA
rnacentral:misc_RNA from 1 species